CCUACGGGGAGCAGCAGUGGGGAAUAUUGGACAAUGGGCGAAAGCCUGAUCCAGCCAUGCCGCGUGUGUGAAGAAGGCCUUCGGGUUGUAAAGCACUUUCAGUGGGGAAGAAAGCCUUGGGGCUAAUACCCUCGAGGAAGGACAUCACCCACAGAAGAAGCACCGGCUAACUCCGUGCCAGCAGCCGCGGUAAUACGGAGGGUGCGAGCGUUAAUCGGAAUUACUGGGCGUAAAGCGCGCGUAGGCGGUCUGAUAAGCCGGUUGUGAAAGCCCCGGGCUCAACCUGGGAACGGCAUCCGGAACUGUCAGGCUAGAGCGCAGGAGAGGAAGGUAGAAUUCCCGGUGUAGCGGUGAAAUGCGUAGAGAUCGGGAGGAAUACCAGUGGCGAAGGCGGCCUUCUGGACUGACACUGACGCUGAGGUGCGAAAGCGUGGGUAGCAAACAGGAUUAGAUACCCGUGUAGUC
rnacentral:rRNA from 1 species